rnacentral:rRNA from 1 species
UAGUCCACGCCGUAAACGAUGUGCACUAGAUUGAUGCCGGUCUGACCCGGUGUCGAUCGUAGAGAAAUUAUUAAGUGCACCGCCUGGGGAGUACGGUCGCAAGGCUAAAACUCAAAGGAAUUGACGGGGGCUCACACAAGCGGUGGAGCAUGUUGCUUAAUUCGAAGCAACGCGAAGAACCUUACCAGGGUUUGACAUGCACGGAUUACCUCUAUGAAAGUAGAGCGACGCUCGCAAGAGUGGAACGUGCACAGGUGCUGCAUGGCUGUCGUCAGCUCGUGCUGUGAAGUGUCGGGUUAAGUCCCUUAACGAGCGCAACCCUUGUCGCUAGUUGCCAGCAAGUAAUGUUGGGGACUCUAGCGAGACUGCCGGUGUCAAACCGGAGGAAGGUGGGGAUGACGUCAAGUCAGCAUGGCCCUUAUGUCCUGGGAUGCAAACGUGCUACAAUGGCCUGUACAGAGCGAUGCGAUAUCG